CCCCUGGUGGCCAUAGCGGGGGGGAAACACCCGGUCCCAUUCCGAACCCGGCAGUUAAGCCCCCCAGCGCCGAUGAUACUGUGCCGGCAGCGGCACGGGAAAGUAGGUCGCUGCCAGGGG
rnacentral:rRNA from 2 species